CCUUCUCCGGCCGAUUUCUCCACCAUCCGACGUCGCCUCGUGUCGUGCCACCUAUCAAACUGACGGGCUCGACGAGCUCCAUCUUUUGGGCUACGUCUUGCACUCCGGCGACAACCACACACGGUGUAGCAACCGCCGGAAGUUACUGAUGUGGCGGCGCCGCCUCCUCCGGCCACCAUGGCUCGAGAUUCUUGGGGGGUUUUGCUUGUCUCAGUCCCAGCAACAUUCCCACAAAAGGAAUCGAGCCAAAUCGAAGUGUGACUGACGAAACGAGUGAGGAAAUUACUUUCAGGGUCGUGGAAGUUGCACGCAGGAAAGAAGUGGAUAACUCCGCAGGUGUGGAUUAGCGGGAAUUGACGGACCGCUCAGAGGACUUGAAGUUAUUUGUCUCCAGCUUGUGUGAGGAUUUUGUGUGACUAUCUUGU